GCGGGGGAGGGGCAGGGGCUCCGACCCCGGCUGUUGUGGAACCGAGUGCGGGCGGGAGGAUGUCUGACUCAGAGCUGUAUCCUCUGAGGCAGAAACGCCAAAACUCCCUCUUCAGCUGCUCUUCUCCCCCCCCCCCCCACCUCCGGCUUCCGCCUCAUGACCGUCGACGGAGAGCAGUAUAACUAUUCUUUAUGAAUCUCAAACCGAAGGGUAGAUUUUCGCCAAAAAGUAACGCGAAGAGCUAGGCAGACCGUUCAGCUCUUGACGCACGCAGAGGAACUUAGUUGUGGGGCGGGAAAAGGGGAGGGCGUAGGAGCUUUGAGACCCGUUCAGGGCGAUUGGGGGUUUUGACUGAAUCUCUCUUGUCAAUAAGGCACUUGAGGCUGACAAUCUUCCCCGAAACGUUUAAGGCUCAUAAGGCAAGUAGGAGAGGGCUUCUUAACGCGUCUGGAACAGCGCUAGCUAAAGGCGUUUCUUUUCUGCAAGGAACGAGCCUAUUUCACCUUUAGGGAACGGCAGUUGGGGAGCAGGUAUGGUCUGCUUUCAUCCAGACAAGCUGGCAAAGCCAGGGGCUCGCUCAGCGUUUCAGGGCAGCCGCAGCUGCUGCCGUUGCUACCGAGCUCCUCUUCCUUUCGCCCCAUCCCCUCCCAGCUCCCGUCCUGCCCGCACACGGCCCAGCCUUCCCUGCCCGGCUUCAGCCCCUCCAGCGAUACGGCUGAUUGAGGGAGGGGAGGCGGCGGCUGGGGUUUCAUUCGACGCCCACCAGGGGCUGAGCGAGCCUCCUUCAGUGCGCAAACUCGGGGCACCAGAUAAAAGCUGGGCUGGCAGCUCUUACCCUGCCUCGAUGGAGCCGCCACAAUCGGGUGACUGGAGAAGCAGUUAGCAGCAGCGCCAUAGACUAGCAUCCCCCCACACCUUGGGCAGAGAGAGUUUGGGGCUCUAAACAGCUGCUGCUGCGGCAAGAGGGAGCCGAGGGCGCUUGGCUGGGGCUGCUCGCUCGGGUUCUGCCUGUUGUUGCGCGAAAUGGCGGCUGGCGUCUUGACGUUAAUGCUCUCAUGGAGUCAGGUCCUGGGCCAGGUCCGGCGUGUAUACCCCUCCUAAUUGACAGUUUCUGAUGAUCACCUGACUAUUUAUAGGUAGCAUUUACGGCUGACUCAUCUGCCUCUGACUCACCUGGUGCAACAACACAUUGCUUUCAGGACAGUCCUCAGUAUAGAGUCAAUACAAGCAGGAAAUUCGGGAAGCUGCAGGCAAAAGUAUGGAUGCAGGUGGUGUUGUCCUAAGCAGAACUGCACUUCCCAUAAAUAAAUGAGUGAUCCUGCUGUGUCUAGGGAGCAUUAGGCACAUCAGCAUGUCCUGUGUAAGUGGCCAGAGUUGUCCAGUGCAGUCUGUGUGUAUUAGGUAGUCUUAGUGGUCACACAGAGAUGGACUUCACAGCAUGUGUCCUUCAAGUCUGAUCUGCCUGGGGAGCUUUGAACCUCCUGUGUGGGUGCUGGGUGGGUUGUUCAGACUAUGCGUAGUGUCAUCAUGGGAUCAGGAGGCAUCAGAUUUACUUUGUACACACAGUCAUGGCAUAGGUUUCUCAAAUAAAAUACUGCAGGAUUCCCUUUCAGUCCCCAUAUUGGUGCUCCCCAAUGCAUUUUGGCACUGAUAAUCAUGUGGCCAUAGAGUGGGUUGAAGCAGCUCAGUGGCACAGGUGACUGUGCAGAUACACAGUCACUAGUACUGACACAAGACAGGUGAUGGGAGCAGGCAGGACUGCUCCUCUUGAACACAGCACAUGCUUAGAUUGACAUAAGCCAGCCAUGACACCACACUCAGUGAUUUGUCUGGGAUUUUAGCAUGUUGGACCAUGGGGGGAGAGGAGAAUACAAAGGAAAGACAAAGUCGAAUGCUGGAUUGUGGGUCAAAAGCCUCAUCUGUAAAAUCCUAACAUAGAAACAAGAUGAAAAAGGAGGGAACAGGAGUAAGAACUGGGAAAACUUCUGCUUCAGGCUGUUGUUCCCUGGCAGAGUGCCCAGCAGGCACUGCAUCAGGCAGCUUUGACCAGGAGCAUGUUUCCACUGCUGCGUGCUACUUCAUUUUCUGGCCUGGGACGACAUCUGGCUGGCGUGUUCAUUUCCACACCCCAGGAAGAGUGCUCUUUUUAGCUGGGUACUGCAGUACUUGGCAUUAAAAUAUAGUGAAUCAGACUACAAAGUGGCAUGAAAUUGUUUUAAAAAUAAAGGGGUUUAAGUACA